rnacentral:lncRNA from 1 species
UUUCUGCUAGUUCAUGUUCGUGUUUAUGAGAUUUUAUUCAGAUUUAGGAAUCGUGAACAUAUGGUUGCUGAUGUUGUUAUGAUUCUGUAGCAUGUAAGUGUGAACCUUUUUAAAUUUAUAUCGAAAGGGAACCCUGAGAGUAAGUGUUAACUCUUUGACAAUUAGACGCUCUUGUCUGAACUACAUAUAUCUGGCAGGAGAUCUAGAUGUAAAUCCCAUGAAGAUGUUCAGAUAACAUGUUUUCACUUGAGAGCUUUCUGUGAUUAGCUGCCUUUGAUUAGGCCUAAUCUUUUUCGCUGGUAACAAUGAGUAGAUAGGAUAUUGUUUGAGUGAAGGCUCAGUACUGAUUAGGUGUUGUAAUGUAGCUUGUACUUAUCAUUUUCACCCAUGCUCAUAAUAGUUUGGACUUUGCACGUCUUCAAUUAGAGGAAAGCUUAUGAGUUUGAAUUGUUAAGGUAGCAAUUGAAGGCGAUUGUGCUACUUCUCUCUUAGAUUGAGAUUUGGUUGUCUCAACUUCAGUUGAAUGUGUUAUAAAUAAGAUGUGCAAUUUUGGCUGAUGGUCUCCUUAUAUUUUCUGCCUCAACUGCCCCUUCCCCUUGGAACCUAAACUAAAGUAUGAAACUAAAUACCUUCUCAGAGUCUCUUUCCUUUUUCUUUUGGUAUUUCUCUAAUGCAAGACAUUAUAUUUAUACUUGUGCGUAUUUGUAGCUUUGCACAUUUAUAUGUUGAUUUCAGUUGUCAUGUAAAUUUGAUCAUGUGUUCACCUGUUUGUUCUUGUAGUUCUGCCCGAGUCAAAUGGUUAUAUAUAUGUUGAGGCAAAUGGUGGUUUAAAUCAGCAGAGGACUUCUGUAAGUUUGAUUCCUCUUUUGUUGAGCAUUUCUUUUUUAUUGAGAUCACUCAUUCGACAAGAUUGUUGACUCCUUGCUACAUGGUUGUUUUGAUGAAUUCUAGAUAUGCAAUGCUGUUGCCGUUGCAGGAUAUCUCAAUGCAACACUUUUAAUUCCCAACUUUCAUUUUCAUAGCAUCUGGAGAGAUCCAAGGUUUGUGAGCAUUUAAUAAUUUGAUGUUUCAGCACUUGGUUAAAAUUUUAUGUCCAAAAGAAGCAAAGGCCAAAGCACCGGAAUAGAUUAAAAAAAUGUAGUUACAAAUCCAAGAGCAAUUUAUUUUUCUUUCCCAAUCUUGUGUUGGCAGGAGACUGUUUCACUCAUAUUCUUACCGGCAUCCUGUUUAUAACAUCAUACUUCUAUUAGUUCUGUACUACUGAUUGGAUAUUGUAGUUAGUGUUUUGUAUAAACUGGAUUCUGAUUAGUUUUCCUGUCAAUUAAUAUUGUCCAGUAAAUUUGGUGACAUAUAUGAUGAAGAUUAUUUCAUCAGUUCGUUGGAAAAUGAUGUGCGGGUGGUCAACAAGAUUCCUGAGUAUUUGAUGGAACGAUUUGAUCGCAAUAUGACCAAUGUUUACAACUUCAGAAUAAAAGCAUGGUCGCCAAUUUCAUAUUAUAAGGAUGCGGUUCUCCCAAGGCUACUUGAAGAGAAGUGAGUUUGAAAAUUUCAAUAAUAAUUAAUAAGGUUUUCCUGUUAUGUCUAUGGUUUCUUGUUUGGUAAACGUGACAACUGUUCUGGUGAAAGUAAGCUUUACUGGUUUUUUUUUUCUUCUAACUCACGUAUUAGUCCAGAGAGUGGGUAAUGGGAAAAGAUGUGGGAAGAAAGAUAAUUCUUUGGAAAUGCUCAUCAGUAAGAGGUUCUAAUUCUCUACCAGGACAUACCCGUCCAUGUGAAAAUAAUGAUUCUCUGCCUCCAAUCCAAAUCCUGCUGAAUAGAUGAGUUCUGUUGGAUUAGAUUUGGUAACAGGUCAAGAUGAACUCGACUGAUUAUCGGUCAUUAAUGAAUCAGUUCUUCAUAUGUUGCUGCUAUAACUACCCUAAUGAGAACCAAUAACAAAUGUUCUGUUAUAUAUUGUGAUGAAAAUUGGAAAAACAAUUUGUAUGAUAUCUUCAGCUCUUUACAAUGGAAUUCAACUCCUAUCAACUGUUCUGCACUCUGUGCAGGGAUUGAUAUUUGUUAUUUUUGUUUCCAGUGCAUAUAUUCAACUGGUGAUUCUGUCUACACAUCUGUUGCAGAUCUGUAGUAUUCCGUCAUAAUUAUUCUUGUGACUUGGGGUGUGGCAUGUUUAUGCAGUGCUGAUAAAACAUAUUUCUUAUCCUUGGGUUUUCUUUGUUUCAACAAAACAGGGUUAUACGGAUUUCCCCUUUUGCCAAUCGGUUGUCAUUUGAUUCCCCUCCAGCUGUUCAACGACUUAGAUGCUUGGCUAAUUAUAAAGCUCUAAGGUUUUCAAGUCAUAUAUUAACUUUGGGAGAAACUUUAGUUGCAAGAAUGAAAGAACGCAGUGCGAAUUAUGGUGGCAAAUAUAUUUCUGUGCAUCUUCGGUUUGAAGAGGUUAGUCUGUAAUCAGUAGCAUUGUGAUAUCCUAAUUCUCUUUUGUCUAACAUCCAUAAAGAAAUUGCAUCUUAUACUUGCUAGUAUAACAAGUGAUCUUUUUUUUUUUUGGCAGGACAUGGUUGCCUUUUCUUGUUGUGAAUUUGAUGGUGGGGCGCAAGAAAAGGUGGACAUGACCGAAGCAAGGGAAAGGGGUUGGAAAGGGAAAUUUAACAAACCCGGGAGGGUUAUACGUCCUGGAGCAAACAGGAUCAAUGGAAAAUGUCCCCUUACUCCUUUGGAAGUAUGUUUUGCUUUAGUAUUGUUGUAUCUGGAUUCAUUAAUUACAUGAUGAAGGUUUUGUUUAUCAAACAACAAAGAGCCUUGCUUUUGCCAGUUCCUGAUAAAACUAAUAAUCAUACUUACGAAGACAACUUACAGUUACUAAUAAUUAGAAACUGUUUUGCUACAUUUAAGAAAUUUAGUUCAACAACUUAUGGCCAAGUGCUGUUAAUUGUCUGGGAUUUAAGAUUCAUUGUUAUUUACAUGACUAAGUUAAUUUUUUCCCUCUGUCAUCUAACCAGGUUGGCUUGAUGCUUAGGGGAAUGGGAUUUGAUAAGAACUCAGUUAUCUACUUGGCAUCUGGAAAGAUAUAUGAUGCUGAGAGAACGAUGGCUCCAUUACUGGAAAUGUUUCCUAAUUUGAUUACGAAAGAGAUGAUUGCUACAGAUGAGGAACUUGCUCCGUACCAGGUACAAUUGAUCUUUAGUUAUAUUUCUUUGUUCUGUUUCUUAUUUCUUUGCCAUUCUGUUUUGAGAUCUGUCAUGAAACCAUUUUUUCUGACUUGUGUUGCUGCUUCUAGAAUUAUUCCUCCAGGAUGGCUGCAAUAGAUUACACUGUUUGUCUCCACAGUGAGGUAUUUGUGACAACUCAAGGAGGAAACUUUCCCCAUUUUCUGAUGGGACACAGGAGAUACUUGAAUGGUGGACACUCCAAGACUAUUAGGCCAGACAAGCGGAAAUUAGCAUUAAUCUUCGAUAAUCCAAAAAUCGGGUAUAUAUCUCCUUUGCAGUUUUUUUUUUUGACAACUUUUAUGUGAAAUGGCUGGAAAGGAGCUCCAUUGAUGAUAAUCAUUUUAUUCAGGUUGAUAUACACGUCUUAAUGUUCAAACUUUAUUUUUCUAUAGUUUCUUACAUGCAUCUUGGUUUUGUUGUUUAUCCCAGAUGGAAGACUUUCAAGCGUCAAUUGCUUAGUAUGCGGUCUCAUAGUGAUUCAAAGGGGUUUGAGCUUAAGAGGCCAAAUGACUCUAUAUAUACCUUCCCAUGCCCGGAUUGCAUGUGCCGAACAAACAAGUCAGAGGAUUCAAAACUGUCAUUAGCUACGUGAUUUGGCAUGUUGAUGUUGGGUGGGUGUUCCCUGCACCCGUGAUUUUGUGAGCACACCUUGCUGCUGACCCCUCUUUUUUGUGUUGGUAUUCUUUCAUUUUUUUGCCCCCUGCCUGUAUGUGGAGAGGGCAUACACUCAAGUUUUGGGAACUACGUGGAAUUUGUUGGGGGUCUGAAUUAUUUUCCUGGGGAUUGGACUGCGAGGAAGUUGCAUAUCUUGUAUAUGUGCCUGAAGAGAAGAGGCAACAACGACAACAAUUCUUCCAUCACAGCAGUUCUCGGGUGUUGACUGAGCGUUUCGUAUUUGCAGCUGCUGUAUUUAACAAGCUGCAAAAUGUCAAUCACAUUCAUUAACACCCUGGUUUUCACAAUGUUUGUAGAGACUAACUGGUUUGGGCAAAUAGGUUCAGGUUCGAUUUUGUGUAGAUUUCACUAAAACCAGGGUAUUCUUUCUCUUCUUUAGGGUUUCAUUUAUGUAACUUUUCUUGCUCUUAGAGUCUUAGAGGUUACCCUUUCAGACGUUAUCGGGGUACCUUUCACAUCAGUGGGUACAUACAUGAAUUUUUUGUGAAUGAAGGUGAUUAUUGUUGGCUGAAACUUUUCCAGAUUGCUUUGCUUCAUUUUCUUUUUAAUGUUACGAGUGGCUAGAGCACAAUGCUUGUCUUUGUUCUUUCCCUAUGCUUUGAUCGGCCAUAGUAGAUACGGUUCAUCCUUUUUCAUUCCAUCUAAAUGAAAUCUGUUCUACUGGUGGAUGCCCCGAAUUAACCACAGACGUGUCUUGUAUGUUUAAGUAGCCAAGGUGUUCUAUUAGCACCAGUGGUCUAGUGGUAGAAUAGUACCCUGCCACGGUACAGACCCGGGUUCGAUUCCCGGCUGGUGCACAUUUCAUUUUUUAUUUUCAUUUUUUCUUUUCUUUUUAUUUCAUCUGAGUCUGAUAAUCUCUGACUUGGGAGUUGGGAUUUCUGUAAUCUGUGUGAACCUUGAUAUAUUUAUUUGGGUAUGACAACCAAAUGAAUUAUAUAAGAAACAUUGUUUGAUAUUGGAAUGAACUCAAAAUUUUGAGCAAACAACAAGAAAGAUCGAAAUAACUCUAAUCCUCCUGACCUUGAAGCCAAUUUUACCAUGCACUGGAGUUCAAUCAAAAGUUUUAAUGUUUUUUUUCUAGGACUAAAAAAUUGAAAAUAUCCUCAAUAUGUCAGGUGAUAUUUUCGUUUUUUUAAAUAGUCGAUAUAUUUUUGCCUCACAGAGAGAAUAUCAUAAGAAACUCAUGAAAUUUCGGGAUAUUUUGAUAAAAUAUCAAUAAUCCCCCAAAUUUAUCAAUUUUAUGUGUCAAAUAUGAAAACAUGGCAUUUAUUAUGUCUCAAAGUGAACCCAAAUGUGAAAACUCCUUAGCCAUCUUGGCAGAGAUGUAUUUGAAUAAAAAUUGUAUAUUUAUAUAUAUAAAUACACAUAAAUUUCACCAGAUUUCCAUUAUUUUUAUUCGAAAGUUUGGAAAUAUCAAUUUUUUCUGAUAUUUCCAUCGAAAUAUCCCAUUUUUAAACCAUAUCCAUAAUUGUAGAUAUUUUAGCCUUGUUUUUUUCUAUAGAAAAUAAAAUAAUAACCCUCUUAAGUCUCUUAACCGUAUCUUGAUCAAACCCCUGGAUAUAAUACCAGACUAGAGAGGACAGAACAGAACAUUACCGUCAGCUCCAAGCCUCCAACGUUUGACCUCUCUCCAAACCCCGUGGGUAUCGCCAGCAAUCUCACUCUCUCCGAAGCCAUGGGAAUCGCCGGCAAUCUCAGUUCGGACCAAGUCCAGUUCUUCAACUCCCAAGGUAAACCACCCUACCUCCCAAACCUCUCCUUAAACAACAUCACUGUGUCUAAUGAUGCUUCGGUACAUAUGUUUAAUCUCGCAGGUUAUCUUGUACUGGAAUCGUUCGCCACUCCUGAGGAAAUCGAAGCCAUGAGGACGAGGAUGGACCAGUUGCUCCACGACUUUGACUGCUCCGCCACCGCCUCUAUUUUCUCUACCAAGAACCAGGUAUUUACCGCAAUCACAUUUAUCUGAAGUAAAUUUUCAAUCUUUUACUUGAUGAUUAUUCACAUAUUUACACAAUUGUUUUCUGUUGCUAUUUGCAGCAACAGUUGACCGACAACUAUUUCUUGGAAAGUGUCGACAAGAUUUCGUUUUUCUUCGAAGGUGAGUACUUAUGUUCAGUUUAAUCUUUAAUGUUCUGUAACUCUUGAGUCUUGGUAAAGUUUUAGCUAUCAGUUUGAUGAUUAUGCUAUAUUUUGAUGUAUAUGGCACUUGUUAAUAUUGGCAGAGAAAGCUUUUGGGGAUGAUGGAAGCCUAAAGCAGCCAAAGGGACUUUCCAUCAAUAAAGUUGGACAUGGUAAAGUUAACCUCAAAUCUUAUUCCCUUAGCUAAAGUGUCUAUUGUGGUUUUGAUUGGGACUAAAUUUGUAGAGCAUGUGGGUAUGUUGAUGCAGCAUUACAUGAGCUUGAUCCGGUAUUCAAAAAGUUCUCCUAUUCUGAGAAAGUUUCGGGUUUGUUAUCCUCCUUGGCAUACAAAAGGCCCAUUCCCAUUCAGUCUAUGUAUCUCUUUAAGGUAUUAGGUCUUUUUGCGUUUAAGGUUCUCUGGAUUGAGACAUAAUACCCUUUUUAUUGCUCUCUUAAGGUUUUACAGUCUUUUAUGAUUAUUGGUUUUUGAAAUGAGGCUGUUAUUUGGAAGGAAGCACACAAGUAUUGGAUACAGUAAGUUAAAUGAGUGGAGAGAAUAUUGACCUAAACUUUUAGCUUUCUCUUGUCUUGGAACUUGGAUAUAUAUGCUGGUGUUAUGGAUGUAGAUAUGUAAUAGCUUAUAAAUAUACAUAGGCUUUCGUAUCUACAUAUUUUGUGCGCGAGUGUAACUUAUAAAUCAGACAUGUUUACAUAGAUUGAUAUAUAUAUAUANNNNNNNNNNNNNNNNNNNNNNNNNNNNNNNNNNNNNNNNNNNNNNNNNNNNNNNNNNNUUUUUGUUUUUUUUGAAAGAUGUGUGAAGGAUAGUUAAUGUGAGGAAACCAACUACACUAAAAGGUUAGAAACUAUCAUUAAAGGAAAAUAAUGGCAGGAGAUAAGUGCUACAUGUGCUGGACAAAAUAAUGUAGUACAAAAGAUGGUUUAUUUUUCACUUUUUAUGUUUGUUGGCUGUCUGUGCUCGUUUUAUUGUAGGGAUUUAUCAUUUAUGACAUUGAGUGAUUGAGCUCUAUGAUUUAUGUCGGACUUAGAGGCCCUUGCUGAAAAUUGUGUGUUUUGUGUAGCAGCUGUUAACUGAUUUAUAUAUCCUAAAGCCUAUGAUUUUAUCUAUAACCAGGAUUCGGCGGAAGGUGGAACCAGAGCCCAUCUAUGUAUCUUAAAAUGACCUGAAAGUCGAUGUCUAGCUCGUGUGGUUCGGCAUCUCAAGCUGACACAUCGAUAUCCUUUACAGAACUCAAAGCCUCGCUGUAAUUUUUAUUGAUUUCUGCAGUUUUAGGUUCGAAUAAUGCAGAUAACUAGAAAUGUGGUUGCACUAUCUCCUACCAGUGGCCGUUUGGAUGUUUUACAACAUGGUUAAAUCGCAAAAGUUCAAUGCAAAUUUAUUUUGUUAGUUGAUGGAUGCUUAUAAUUCAAAGACAAUCCUCUAGAUUAUAUGUAACCUCUGCUGCUACAAGUUUGUUCCGAUGUCUUGUAUAAAAAUUGCUGGGAGAAACUGUCAGGGAUUAGUUCUUAUCUUCAAAGUUUUCACCAAGUGUUAAGAACCCAUAAGAACUAACAGGCCCGCUCACCUGCGGGACACUGUUUACGGGACAGAAAGGGACGAAUCACUCACAGCCCUUGGAUUUUAAGUGAUUAAAUCUUACGGCCCUAAUCUAAACCUAUUAGAUUCCAGUUCUGCAGUUCCUCUUUUACCAGCCUCUGCUACCCAGAUCUCCAAGUUCUUCAUCUGUUUAUCCCUUCAUCUCACCAUCCUAUUUGUAAUUUCAUAAAGGUAUUUAUGCUAUCCUCUCUCAUCAUUCGAAGUGAUCUGUUACGGGUUCAAAACAUGUAAACUAACUCCAAANNNNNNNNNNNNNNNNNNNNCGGUGCGAACGUCCGCUCCACAGCGGGCCUGAUAUAUAUGUAUGUAUGUAGCUGUUGGGAUUGAAUCUUAAAUGGAAUCACACGCAUGUUUAGCAAUCUGUAGAAUUAGCAGCACUGUGAUUCGUAACUGUAAAAUGUAAAUAGUGCCGUGUAACAUUUAAAAUUUUGCAAGUUUUGAAGCACUGUUAUAUGUCUUCACACAAACAACCUUUGUCUCAUUUACUCAAACUGAUCUGUAAGAAUAUUGCUGGCAGCAACCGGGUAUUGGCGGUGAGGUAGUGCCACACCAGGAUAACUCAUUUCUUUAUACCGAACCACAAACUUGCACUGGGCUGUGGCUAGCCUUGGAAGAUGCAACAGUAGUAAAUGGCUGCCUGUGGGCUAUUCCUGGAUCUCAAAAGAGUAGGGUUCUCCUUUCAUCUUCUUCCUUCUAUAAAUCCUUCCUAACAACAUCUUUAUCUAUUUUGACUUUCUGUUGUGUUUAAUGUAAUCAAGUUUUCCUCUGAUUUGUCUUUGUUUGUGAUUUAGAUGGCCUUGUUAGACGGUUGAUUAGAGGUGAAGACGGUAUGACCUUUGAUCGUCCGUCCCCUGUGUAUGAUCCAAAAGAUUUUGUGCCUAUUGAAGUCAAAGCUGGGUCUUUAGUUGUUAUUCAUGGUGAUCUUAUUCAUCAAAGGUCAGUUACACUGUUUCUGUUCAUCCUUAUAGAAAUACAUGUGGUUUAUCUCAUUUGCUGGAGGGUCUGAAAGGUCUCCUUAUGGAUUUUUCCUGUCAUCCUUGGACUACAGUUUCGAGAACCAGUCUUCAAAGUCAAGGCAUGCAUAUAGCGUGCAUGUGGUGGAUACAGAUGGCUGCAAAUGGGCUCCAGAUAAUUGGUAAAAUUUUACAUCGAUUGUUUAUUUAUUUCUAAGCUUUGCAUGUUGUUUCAGGAGUGACUUGUGCGGUCUAUUUAUUUUCUGGUUUCCAUAGCUUUGAAGUAUGGAUCCAAACUAUGAACUUUUGUGAGUCGCAGAAAUUGCUGAGUGUACCAGUGUUUGAUGUGUGAGGGAGAGUUUUUUUUNNNNNNNNNNNNNNNNNNNNUCCUUCCUCUCUCUCUCUCUCUCUCUCUCUCUCUCUCUCUCUCUCUCUCUCGUCGUUCUUCAUCUUCUUCCUUCCUUCCUUUUUGGGUUGUUCUUAGCAAAUAACUGCUCCUCUUAAACCAUGCUCCUUUUAAGCCGAAAUACAUGAUGGCAUAGCUUGCUUGUUUUGAUUAUGCUCAGUCUCAGCUCUCAGCUAGUCUCAGCUCUCCUAUGGAGUUUUGUCGAACUGGUAUCAACGUUGCUUGUUGAGUUGGUGAUCGAUAAGUCCAAAAUAAUCAUCUAAAUUCAUGGUCGGGACUCGGGAGUAUUUACCAUCUAUCAGAAAAGGCUGUUGACUUGCAAACGUAUACAGUUUCUAGUCUCGCGUCAUCAAUUCUAUCACUAGCUAGUAAUUACCACUGAAUCGAGUGAGCGAAACAACCAAAAUUUUAGGCAUACAUUAAUAGAUCGAAUUAGAAAUCAAAUGAACAGUCUGGUCUAUAAAUUGCCCUGGCAUGCAUAGUACUACAAGUAGGUAUGCCUUACCUCACUUACUAAAUUGGCAUUGCAGACAUUGGCCCCAGUCUUUCCCUAGCUGUCCUUCUAUAAGAUUUGGAGAACAGAGCUAGGAUUAAUUCUCAUUGCGGCCAGCAGCCGGCCGGACAUCGCAGCUAGGUUUAUAUGGCCGGUUGAAUGAGAUCAGAAAAUGUUUCGCGGGGAUCGACAAUCUUCUGCGUUUGCCUUUAGUAUGCAUAUGCAAAUGCAGCUAGCUACUAGCUCCUCCAUGAAUGUUUCUCUCUCUCCAUCUUUCUAGCAAGUUUUCCAGUCGAUCGAUUUAGUAUUCAUAUAUUGACAUAUGAGAGCUUGAUAGUUAUGCAUAUGCAUUGACCUUUCAUUAACGGUGGACCUUACUCCAAAAGGGAUAAAAUACGAUGGCCGGAUUCCAUAAAAUACGAUGAACUUCUAUAGAAAUAGAAGAGGUACGUACAUACAAGUUACAUCAGCAAACUACCUAUGCAAUUAAAGAACGUGGACACGAACCUUACUCUAUCUUCCUCUGCUUUUGAACAAGUAGACCGAAGAAACAAAUUUGGAAGAAGCAAAUACAAAACCGGCCCGAUCAUAAAGAUGUGCCGCAUUAUUCCAUGAAAGUUAAAGAUCAGGCAAGCAUGCAUUGAUGCAUACUAUUAUUAUUACAUGAAGAUAUAUAUAGUUACAUGCUUAUUAAAAUGUUCAACGAAAUUGAUAGUACUGGUCGAUCUGGCAGGAGAUCUGCAGUAGUGUCUGUGCUUGUGGUUAUGCUUAUAGGUAAUUUGGUAUCCUUACUCCUUAGCACCCUUAAGAUUUUCGCUCUCAAGUGGAAAGAGCUCCAGAGUUUGAUUUGCUCUACUACUUUCUUCGAAUUCUCCUCUGUAAACAUUGGUUGCAGUCAAUACCAUACCGUAAUCAUAAUCAUAAUAGUGAUGAAAGUCCAAGAGCUUUGGACAAACAAAUGUAGCUGACGCAUUUGUGUCUGAUGCCGGUCCAGGUGAAUCGGAUUGCUUCACAAGUUGCCUGGAUGAAUUGCUUUUCACCAUGCUCAUCAUCAUCCUCUCUUGCAGUAUUGAAGAUGAUUCCUGAGGACAUACAGUAACGAUUGAAACUCAUGCAUAUAUCACGCAUUCAAUAUUUCUAUAUUUUCUUAAGAUUUUUGGUUUACCUGAUCAGAGAGAAUAGUGAAGUUGUUUGGUAGAAUCCACUUAUUCUGCUGCUCAUCUUCAAGAGGAAGAACCAAGUCAACUGCAAGUAAACAAUGUCCAUAAUUUGUUAUAAUCUCUCAAUUAAUUUUUUCCCACCUAGUCAACUAGUAAGUUUUGAGCCCUAGCCCCCCAUUACCUGGGGAGGGAGCCAUAUAUGUGUCCAACCAGAGAUUGCAUGCAUGUUAAUAAUAAAAAACGUGCUAAUUAAUUGGUACCUCCUGCAGAUCCUUUGUCCUGGAGACUGCUAACCGUGUUGUUACUCAAGUUUUGUUGUUGUUCUUUGGAGUCAGACUGAUACAUGGACAUGAGUUCACGGCGUCUGAUCUUCUGCCUCUCCCUGGCUCGGUGGUUCUGAAACCAGUAGAACACAUUCUUGCCUUCAAUCCUCCCAAAGUUUCGAAGCUGCGCAGUCAGCUGUCGGAUUUGUUGGGCCGUCGGUGUCUUUAACCCAUGUCGAUACAGCUCUUCCAGAGCCAUUAGCUGAUGCGGGGUUGGACUCCAUCGGGAAUUUCGCCAAGGAACUGCAGACUUCGGUUGUUUAUUACUAUAACAACAACUUCUGCCUUGCUCAGACGACGUCACUGGAAUCACUGCAUACAUAGUGAUCAUAUUAUUAUACCUACCCACAGAAAUGACAGAACAAUAAUCACACUAUCAAAGUAUACAAGGUUCAUGUACGUACUCUGAUAAUGGUCGUCGUUGAAUGGUACCAUAGGGUUCUGGGUCAUGUUGGAAGUAGAGUUUUGGUCUGGAGUGAGUAGAGGCUGAAGAUUUGCAGGUUUGAUGGAGUAGUCAGGGAGAUCCCUACUAUUGUGUAUUUUAGGGUCUUGGCUACACCCCUUCAUCAUCCACAUCACUGAUAAUUAUUGAAACGAGGAUGUAUAUAUAUGGUUAAGUAGACAAUUUGAAUCAUAUGAACAAAGAUGGUAAGGGGAUGGAGCUAGAGAGUGAAGCAUGCAUGCAUGUAUAUAUGCACCAUAGUUAUUAUAUAUGAAGAAGCAGUCGACAUACGCACGUAUAUACGUUAUAAUUUUUUUCCACAUUUAUUCUCUUUUAUAUGAUUAUAUAAUUAUAUCUCUUGGCCACUCCCAGCAACUACGUACGUCAGCUGCUGUUCUUCUCUGAUCGACAACUUUACAUAUUUGAUUAUCGCUUGACAUGGGAUGACCAGUGAUGAAACCAGGAUCGCAAGCUUAUUUAAAUUACUGUUAAAUUAUUUUUCUCAUUUGAAGAACUCGCUAAUUAAAUAACUUUAGCUUUUAUCUCAAAGAUUUGAACACAUGCACAUUCCAAAUAAUAGGGUAAAAGUUAUAAAUAACCCUCACAGUUUGGGGUCAUGGUUACAUUCGUCACCAUGGUUUAAAAAUGAUUAAUUUUGAUCCUCGUGUUUUAUAUAUCGACUAAUUAUAGUCCAAUGAUAACAUUUUGUCUAACACCGUUAAUGAGGCGCGCACAUGUUGAGGCAAUUUAUCUAUAAAAUAAUGAAUGAAAAUAACCAUAAAUUCUAACACCCACAAUCAUAAUAAAGUUAAUAGGCAGUAUGAUUUAUCCCAGAUAUUUGCAUUGGAACUCAACCCUUUGUGCGAUUAAGAUGUAAAAUUUAAAACCAUUAUUCAUCUAUCAAAGUGCAAAAAAGUCAUUAGAUUUAAAAUUUUGGGGGCGGAUCUGUGACAUACAAGAUUAUAAUCAAAAUUAUAACCAUAAUAUCAUCUAUUAGAUCCAAUAACAACUAACGGUUAAGAUUAGUCAUAAAAUUAAUUUUUUUUUUCUUUAAUUCAAUUUAUGAAAUCUAUCUAAAUAAAAAUUGAUGAUUACUAUUCUCCAUUUGGAAUAUAAUUAAGAGGAAAUAAUUUGUUUCCUAUUGAAACUCGUUUACUAGAGAGAAAAGAAAACAAAUUAAGUCUCCAAUCUAGUACGUGCAUCUUAGACGUACUCAUUUUAGCUUAUUGUUAUUCAUAGCACAAGAUGAUACGAGUAUUUCCAUACAUAAUCUGAUUAUAAGUUUUCAAACGUGUUAUGACAGACAUCAUUUGAUAAUUUUUUUUCUUUGAAGAAAAAGAGGUAGAUGAUGAUAUAUAGUACUCUCUAGUAAAUGAGUUUCAUCUGAUAUUUAUUUUUUUCUUUUUUUAUCUAGUAAAUGGGUUUCAAUAGAAAACCAUUAACUUUCUUAAUUGUAUUUCAAAAUGAGAGUAGGUAAUCAUCAAUUUUCAUUAUGUUUUUAAUCAAUAGAUUUUCUUAAUUGAUUUAAAUAAAUUGAAAAGAAAAGAAAAAAUAUUUAGUUUUAUGACUUAUCUCAACCGUUAGUUGUUAAUAUAUUUAAUGGCUGAUAUUCUUGUUAUAAUUUUGAUUAUAAUCUUGUAUGUCACGGAUCCGUCCUCUAAAAUUUUAUAUGAUCUGGUUUGAUUCUAGUACGUAUUCGAUAUUCUCCAUAAUUUCAUACAAAACUUUGGCAAUUUGUAAAAAAGGUCAAAAGUAUUAUGGGGAAGUGAAAGGAAGUGAGAAUUUGGAAGAUUAAUUUGAUCAACAAGACAAAAAACAAGGAUAAGAUGAAGAAAUAAUUUCUUUUAAUACGCCAUGACAAUUAUGCCUAGGUUUUGGGAGUUCUUCCUUAUUCUUAGUAAUUUGUUUUUUCAUUUUCCUUAUAAUUCUAUUUAACUUUUAUUUUUUUGUUUGAUAAAAAAUGUAUAAGACAUAAUUAUCUCAUGAUGUCGGCGUAAGAAUUUUAUUAACGGUGUUAGACAAAAUGUUAUCAUUGGACUAUGAUUAGUCGAUAUAUAUAUAUAUAAAACAUGAGGAACAAAAUUAAUCUUUUUUAAACCACGAUAAUAAACAUAACCAUGACUCCAAACCACAAGUACCAUUUAUAACCUUUACCCCAAAUAAUAUUUAGCCGAGCUCAAUAUCGAUGAUAAAGGACAAAUUUAAGUAACUUGGCCACAAUUACAUAAAGGAAUUGAUUAAUACACCACUAAAUUAGUAGUAAAUUAAUGUAAAUUGACCAAUCAAACUUAAUAACAAUACCAAAACAAACAAAACGUGUGCAGUUGCCUGGUUAGGGUGGGAGUUCACUUGGUUGCAUUAUUUUAUAGCCAAAAUAUCAUUGAAUUGGAAGAGUCUCGAAUUGGAAACUAAAUGGCCAUCACCUUCAUUGGACCCCUUCGUACCGUAUGACGUUAUCCCGGAUGACAUCACCGCCAUAAUAUAAUUGGCAAUAAUUGAAGACCAUCUUUUUUAUCGAUGAAAAUUGAAGACCAUCUUUAUGAUUUCAAGUGUAUCCUAGCUAACUACUGACAGUAUACGACUUUUAAUUUCUGGAUUAAUUGAUGCGCUAGCCAGCUCGAUCGUCUGUGCUUCUCUCGAUCAUCUUCUUCAAUACGACUCUUCUCUGCCUCCUCCUCAAAUCUGAGAAUCUGGGGAGAGUAAUUUUCAAUUUAAGUCUCGAUCGGAUCCAUUCCAUCCCCGUGAACGCCAUAAACGUCGAGCACAUGCUGGCUGCGUUCGUUGCAACCCUAAUCCAACUAAUUAGCACAUUGAUCCUCACAUUCACUUUUAAUUCUGAUCGAGCUAAUACUAUAAUAGACCAGAUCAUGUCCCUCCUGAUUGGAUUCCCUCCGGUUUGAUUUGAUUGAGCAACGGACUGUUCACGUACUGUUUGUUCUUCUCGAUCUUUCUCAUCAUUAAUGUACGUUCAUCAAGGACUACUUUCCCUGCUGAAGGGGUGAGUUCUCGAAUACGCCGGGAGUAACUUCAACCAGUGCGAGACCUGGAAUAUCAGUAAAACAAACAGACCGUUAUCGGUAUAAUGGUUAGACCGGUACGGUUAAAAAAGACUCGGAUCCUGGAGCCGGCAUUUCUGUCCCUCCAUAAUAGUUGUGUGGCCGAAGAUUCCUUAGUGUGUAUGUUUUUCUGUUGAGCAAAUUUUCGAUAAAUAUCCUGGAGAGGCAUUUCUGUCCGUCCAUAAUGCUUAUUGUUUUGUUGUAGCUAGCUAGCUUGGCGGGGGAUAUAGCUACUCACCAAGUCACUGUAAUACAAAUGAUCGAUCGAUGAUAUGAUAUUUGAUAUUUCAUUCAGUCGACCUGUUGGUAGUUGAUCAGUAUUAUUAACACGCCUCCCACGUUCCUCCAUAUUAUGCAGAUUUCGCCAUAACUUUGCUGUCCCUAGCUCGCAAGCUCAACACGUUCCUCCAGAUAAUAUAUGCGGAUCGAUUUCGCUGUAACUUUUGCUGUCCCUAGCUCGCAAGCUCAACACGUACGUACGAACACUGUAGUUUUUCCGUUAAUAACCUCUCCGAUUAAAUCUCAUUAUGAUGACAUUGGGGCCAGUACGCCUCCGAUCAGCUGCUGUUCCUCCUCGAUCUCUGAUCCUUCACACAAUUGAUUAUUUUUCAGAUCAUUACUAUUGAACAUAGACGAUCGAUCGGAUGACAUCACCGCCAUGAAUAUUUGUCAAUAAUGCGAUACCAUCAUUAUGGUUUCAUUUGAAUCUAUACUAGCUAGCUAGCCAGCUACAUUUAGAAUGAACCAAGUAUAGGCUUUUGGAUAAAACCAUAGGCUUUAACUACGACUGAAAGUUGACACAUCUCUGAGUUGCAUAAAGAUCAGACUGAGGGUCGUGAUCGAACCCUUACCUCACUAGGUCAGAUUUUUGCCCUAAUUGUGGCUUGGUAUCAUGGUAUGCAUAUCCAGCUACUAGUUCCUCCAUGGAUAUUUCUCUCGCGAUCUCAAUAAUUUACAAUCAUUGAUGAUUUUCAAACAAUUUUCCAAUUAAUGGAACUCGAAAAAUACCUUGUUAAGAUGUCAAAGAGGGUAUCAACCAUCCGUAGAGUUUGUUAAUUAGAGAAUUUAGUUACAUAUGAGUUUAUAUAAUUCUGCAAGAGAUCCAUUAAUCCGAUCCAACUCUGUUUUCAGAAUAAGUCAUUAUCAGUUUCCUCCGGUGUCUCUCGAUUGUACAUGAGAGCUUAGAGAAAGCCUGAAGAAAAUGUAUCAAACUGAGAGAAAAUGGAAACUCUUACAGUCUUACUCGUAUUAUGGUGGAACUAAUGACAGAUGCAAGUGUUAGGGCUCAGUAUUGAUUUAUUAUCUAUAGUAGACUAUUACAUAUUGAUGACUAGCUUACUGACACAGAUAAGACAGAUUAAGCUACUAACAUGGUCGCCGAUCACUUUGCUAAAUUAGACCGAACUUAUUCUCAAAAUUGUAUAUAUAGUACUUUAUCCUUGUUAAUUACUGUUUGAUUAAGCCUCGUAUAAGAUCCUAAUGGAAUCUUUGUAAUUUUGUAUCUUACUUUAAAAAAGAAAAAAGAUUAAGCUAGAAAUGAUCAUUGGGCUAAUUAAUUAAGCUAGAUUAAGCAGCAGUGUCAUGACAGAUUAGGGCAAAUUAAUUAAGCUAAUUAACUAAUCACUACAGUUAACACUUUAUCUUCUUUCUUCGUUUUUUUUGGCUUUGUUCUCAGCUUUGUUCCGGGCUUCUUCUUCUUCUUCUUCUUCUUCUUCUUCUCUCUCUCUCUCUCUCUGCAGUUCUGGAAUUCUAAAUUACCACUGCUCCUUUUAAGCCGAAAUGCAUAAUGGCCUUGCUUGUUUCGAUUAUGCUCACUCGGGGCUCUUGGACGGCUCUAUUAUGGAGCUUUGUCGAACUGAGACUCGAGGUCGGCCGUAGGAGAAUAAGUGAAUAACCCUAUAAACGCGUUGCUUGUGGUAUCGGUGAUCAAUAAGUCUCAAAUAAUUAUCCAAAUUCAUAGUCCGAUGGUCGGGAUAUAUAACGUAAUUUCCAUCUAUCAGAAAAGGCUAGGCUGUCGGUAUAGUUUUACAAGUUAGUUAUUUACAGUUUCAAUUCUAGGGUUUGUCAGCUAUAUUUACAGAUCUACGAGGCCCGCACGUACACGUACAGCAGAUAGAUCUCGCGUCAUCAAGUUUCACUAGUAAUUGCCAUAAAAGUGGGGAUGAGUCGUAUAAAUUGCGCAGGCAUGCUAAGUAGGUAUGCUUAUUACCUCACUUACUAAAUAGGCAUUGCAGACUUUGGCCCUUAUCUGUCCCUUUCCAUCUCUAGUCCGGUGAGCGCAGGCUGCGCAGGCUGCGCAUGCAGCUCAACUUUAAUUUAUCUCAUAGCCGGCCGGUAGCCACUUGCAGCAGUUGGAGGCUACGAAAACGCGUCACGGUUGGCCCCUGGCUUUUAAGAUACAUGGUUGAAUGAGAUCAGAAAUUGUUUCACGGUGAUCGACCGUAUCUUCAGCGUUUGGCUUUGGCAUGCAUAUAUAAGCAAAUGCAGGUACUAACUACUCCAUAGAUGUUUCUCUCUCCAGAUCGUUCUUUAUAGCUAGUUUGCUAGUCAUUGAUGAUUGAGUAUUCAUUGCUGAAUUAUUUUUACCCACCCUCACCAAGUUUCAACCGUACAUGAUCUGUUUCAUUGGAGUAUAUACAUGCAGGAAAUUAAGGGUGUUCCUUAAUUAGCAUAUGAUUGUAAUUGUUUAUAAACUUUACAUAUGUUUCUAGCUCUUUUGGGGUUAUCAGUAUUAUCAGUAGUCUAUUAACUGGACUACUUUAGUUGAUAAUUAAGAUUCCUUGAUAAUCAUAUAUGGUACAUGCAUAUACAGUACAUAUACUACACGCAAAGCAAGCUACCUACGUUGGUAACGUGGUAUGAAUGUAUAGAAGGAACAAUGCUGGCCUGGGUACGGGUGCGACUAUAUAUCCAGAGACUCAGAGAGAAAAGCUAGGUGAGUAUUGUAAUGACCGAAUCGUACUAUGGAUACCAGCAUGCAUGAAUACACCGAUAUAUAACACCCUGACCAACUAUCAAAUUUUCCGACGAACGUAUUUUGGUUUUUGGUUUUUACUUUACUGACGGACGUAUCCAUGAAAAUAUGUAUAUGAAGGUUGCAUGACUGAUAAUUGAAGCUAGCAAUUAACAAAUCCAGUUAUUAAUGCCUUCUUUCUUUUCUUCACUAAUUCUGGAUGUAAAACCUAAAAUUAGCUCAUCAGUUCUUGUUUAUAUUAUGGGCCGGCGUUGAAGGAAUGCUAUACAAGCUAUAUAUGCAGCUAGCGUUACUGUUCAGUCGCAAGCACAAUAAUAACAGAAAAUGCAGGACCAGGCAACUCUGAAACUGAUCUUGAAGCUUGCUACUCAUGGCGGAGCCAAUGAAGAACCAGUGAAGGCCCGUGCUCCCAGAUAAAUAUUGAAUUUCAUUGGCUACUAUAUCCUAAUUCAUCGAUUAAAGGAGGAGGACGUACACCAAUCUUCCUCUUCCUCUACGUUGUUUGAACAAAUAGCUAGAAGAAACAAUAAUGGGAACAAGAAAAUACAGAACCGGCCUGAUCAUAAAGAUAUGCCGCAUUAUUCCAUCGAAGACGCCUAUGCAAACUUUUAUUACAUGGAAAUAGAAAUUUCUAGUUAUAUGCUGCCUUAAAUUCUUCAAAGAAAUUGAUAAUACUAUCUGCCAUGAAAUUUGCAGUAGUGUCUGUGCUUGUGGUUCUGCUUAUAGAUAAUUUGGUCUCCCUAUUAGCACCCUUAACAUUGUCGCUCUUGAGUGGAAAGAGCUCCAGAGUUUGAGUUUCUCUACUUUCUUCUUCUUCUUCUUCUUCUCCUUUGCAAAUAAUGGGUGCAGACAAUACCAUACCGCAAUCAUAAUCAUAAUAGUGAUGAAAGUCCAAGAGCUUUGUGUAACUUAAUGUAGCUGACGCGUUUGUGUCUGAGGUCGGUCUAGGUGAAUUCGAUUGUUCCACUAGUUGCCUGGAGGAAGUGCUUUGCACCAUGCUCAUCAUCCUCUCUUGCAGUACUGAAGAUGAUUCCUGAGGACGUAGUACAGCAACAAGUGAAACUCAUGCACAUGUGUAGUGUAAAUAUCCAUAUCACGCAUUCAAUUUAUUUCUUAAUUUUGUUGAGAUUUGGUUUGAUAAACCCUAGCUACCUGAUCAGAACGAACAGUGCAGUUUGGUAAUUUCCACUUAAUCUGCUGCUCAACUUCGAGACUUGAGUUUGUUAGUCCUGCGCGCAAGUAGCAGUUAAGUACAGUUACUCAGCCGUAGGUGACCUAAAGGAGUAAAGGUGGUGACCUCAACUAGUGUUGAGCCCUAGUUUUUUUUUUCUUUUUCAAGCCCUAGUCCCCCUAUUAACACAUACAAUGAUGUUAAUAAGAAAAUGAUGCUAAUUAAUUGGUACCUCCUGCAGAUUCUUUGUCUUGGAGACCGCUAAUUGUGUUGUUAGUCAAAGUUUGUUGUUGUUGUUUGGAGUCAGACUGAUACAUGGACAUCAGUUGACGGCGUCUCUUCUGCCUCUCCCUGGCUCGGUGGUUCUGAAACCAGUAGAAUACAUUCUUGCCUUCAAUCCUCCCAAAGUUUCGAAGCUGCGAAGUCACCUGUCGGAUUUGUUGGGCCGUCGGUGUCUUUAAGCCAGAUCGAUACAGCUCUUCCAGUGUCAUUAGUUGUUCCGGGGUUGGAUUCCAUCGGGAACCUCGCGAAGGAGCUGCAGCUGCCGGUUUUUUAUCAAUAUAAAAACAACCACGGCUGCUUCUGCUUGGCUGAGACGAUGUCACUCGAACCGCUGCAUACAUAUGAAUAUAAUUACUAUCACUAUGAUCACGUACCCACAAUAUAAUCAAAUCAUCAAAUUAGACUAGUUUGUGUGCAUACUCUGAUGAUGGUGGUGGUUGCACGGUAACACAGGGUUUUGCGUCGUGUUGGAAGUAGAGUGUAUGUUAGGGUCUGUACAACCACCGGUGCUACACUCCAUUGUCAUCCACAUCUGUAACUGAUAGAUAUUCAAACGAGAAUGGCUAUGCCGAGAAAGGGAAUGUUUAGGAUGACAAAGAGCAAAGAUGAGAAGGGGAUGAAGAGACUGAAUGAGGUACGGAUGUAUAUAUAGUCAUAGAGCUUGCUUCCUUUUUCAAUUCCCAAUUAACCAUGCAGGAAUAAUGGAAGAACACAAAAUAAAAGGAUGACAUUGAGCUUACGUAAACGAAGAGAGGGAAAUAAUGAUAGAAUUAAGUCUUCAUGUCUCACAUGCUCCCAUCCUCCUGACAAUUGCAUUUACUGUUCAACAAAACUUUGUCUGGACAAUAAAAUUUACAACCUUUUUUUUCCUAUUAUCCCCUUCAGUUUUUAUUUAAUUAUUUAUUUAUUAUGAAAUGCUUCACUAAAGUUUGUUUACUUAUGAAUUCUUCUAAAUUUUAGUUAUUGUAGCGUCUGAUAUAUGGAAAGGAUUCCUUAUUCCUUAAUUACAUAACAUUUCAGAUUACAGUUAAUUUCAAGUUUCUAUCAAACAAGCUAGUUUGAUCGACUCUGGUAAGCAAGCUAGCUAGUAAUUCCCAUGCAUCCAGAAAUAUACUGGAUAUAUAUGCAUGCAGAAUAUAUACACCAGAUUCCAGAUAUAUGUAGUAUAUAAAAGUAUGGUUUGAGAAUAAGUGCAGUACUGGAGCUAUAUAUAACGAUCUACGUAUAUAUAUGGUCUAUAUAUUUUGAAACUUUGCGUGUGCUUAUUGUUUUGUUGUAGCUAGCUUGGGGAUAUAGCUACUCAUGAGUCAUGACCAAGUCGUCACUGUAAUACAAAUGAUCGACGAUAGCAAGGAUUUUUCAUUCAAAUUGAUUUGUUGCUACGUAGUUGAUCAGUUAUAACGUAUGCACUUAGUUUAGAGAGAUACCAGUCGAACCCCCACCUAAACAUUUCCAGGUAUUGUCUGCAUCAGUAGUAAUUCUACCAUCAAUAAUAUCAUGACCACGCCGGCCUCCGCACCUUCGUCCGGCCCAGAUUAUGCAGACUUCGCCAUAACUUUUCUGUCGACUCUAGCUCGUGAGCUCAACAAGCACACUAUAGUUUUUUCGUUCUUAGUUCCUCCAAUUUAUUCUCAUUUACAUCUCUUGGUCGACGCUGGUCAGUACUCGAUCAGUAGUAGCCACCUCAGCUGUUGUUCCUCCUCUCUGACGUCUUUACAAAUUAUUCAGAUCAUUAUUGGACGUCAUUGGAUACUUGACGAUCGGAUGACAUCACCGCCAUGAAUUUUUGGCAAUUAUGGCCGACCAUCUCUAUGGUUUCAUUUGAAUGCUUACCUAGCUCCUCCCACUGUCUUUCUCCGAUUCGGUUAUCCGGUUUCUCCUUCUCUAAGCUUACAAUUCCUAAUCAGUAGAUGAAAACAAAUAUUGCUCGAUCUGUUCAAACAUCGUCAACAAGUUUAUACGGUGAUGCAUGGAUGCUUUUGUGGGAUUUGGUGAUUAUCAAAACGGAACUCAAACUAGUUUUCUUUUUUGGAGUAGUGUUAUUCAGAUCUUCUAUAGUAACUAGAAGUCUAGAACUUUAAAGUCAAACCGCAGAUUAAGGUCACUCAUGAACACAUGUAUCAAUCAUCGAUCUGUAGCGUUUAUUAGAGAAAUUAGUUACAUAAGAGUUAGUAUCAAAACCAUAAUCUCGCUCUGUAAUGUUUGGUUAAUUAGCCUUAUAAUAUUCGUCAAAAUUACUUGGAGAAAUCAAUACCAGUUCGUCUUCUUCUUCCUUAGUUUCCUUUAAUUUCGUGGUUUCUUCUACCUUUCGCUGUUUCACCAUGAAUUUUAGCACUACAUACGUAGGUCUGGCCACAGAAAUAAGAUCAAGUACAAAUCCUGGUUAGCUAGCUCGAUCAUAUAGCUCUAGAAGAUCUAGUAGAGAGCCCAUGAAUCAAGCUCGCCGCGACCAAUUAACUACUGACAGUAUAUGAUUUUUAAAAAUAUGGAAUGGUGCAUAUCCUAUCAUGCAGGACUUUUAAAUUCUGGAUUAAUCUGAUGUGGUACCUAGCUCGAUCGUGUCUGUCUUUUCUCAUCUUCUUCAAUGAAUCCGAGUUUCUUCUGGCUCUUCCUUAAAUCUGAGAAUCUGAGAAGAGAAAUUUUCAACUUAAAUGUCUGCAUCGGAUCCAUUCCGUCCCCGCGAAUGCAAUAACGCAGAGCACAUGUUAGCUGCAUUCUUCAUCCUGAUCCAACUUAGCACAUUGAUCCUUACAUUCAUUUAGAUUGAGUUAAUAAAUAGUGUAGUUCAUGACCCUCCGGAUUGGAUUCGAUCUGGUUUGAUUUAUUCAGUAUUCACUGUUUGUUCUUCUCUUUUUUUCAGUACGUUUUCUUCCCAGAAUCCUAGAAGUUACCCUCACCCAUCUAGUAAGCCUAACACUAGAACAUAUAUAUGACAGGAACUGGGAAGACAGAUACUUCCAUUUGCAAUUCCUUUCAGAGCCAUUCAUUUUUAGUCUGGUCAAUGUUGCAAAGGAGCUUUAAGAAUGAUCAAUUAAGUUACAGUACCUUGACUACCUUCCAUUGUUCCAUGAUAACUGAAAUGGUAGAAGUUUGCACUUGCAUAUGUAAAAACAAUGUAAUUCUGAGGAACAAAAUCAACACCUUAUAAUUAUAUAGCUGCAUAGCUAACUUAUACGCAGCUACAUUUCGUUCUCCCUUGCUUCUCAAUUGGAUUUACAAAUAAUAUGGCAAUAUGUGAGGCAAAAGAAUCAUGAUUAGGAAUAUGGAAUGAGUCGAUUCCCGAUGCAGACAUCUAGGUAAUCUUUUCUUUUUCUUUCCUAAAUCAAGUUUUUUGGUUACUAAUGAUUGACUAUAGAACGCAUGGAUUAAUACAUUGAUAAUUAACUACUCGAGAAGCUUAUUGCAGGUGCCAACACCUACAGCUGCAGCAAGAUGCCAUGCAGCAUGAAGGUAUGGAGUUUUGGGAAACACAUCAUCUGCAAUAAAAAGUACACCACCCAGUAAUGACGACAGCUUAUGUACAUUAUGUGCCAUCUUUAGCUCUGGAUCUUUUAAUGCUCUUUUGGCAAACGCUACCUGCAGGAAACAAUAUAGUUAACAUAAUUUUUUCAGGUAAUUAAGCUCUUUUUUUUUCUUUUUCUUUUUGGUUACAGCAAGGUAAGAAAGUUCAAUAAGCAGUCCACUAAGACAAUGCGAGUUUGCAGCUUUGUUUGGUGGGCAAAGGCCCAUAUAGAGUAGACCACAGUAGUUUCAGUUUAAGUUUCUCAACCUCAAACUGGGGUCAAUUUGAAUGGCGCUACUUUGCCACAGGUUUUUAUCAUCCCUGCUGGAGUACAUGUUAAAACUAUUGAAUUUGGUGUACUUCACUACACUAUAAUCUCAUAGACCAAAGGGAUUCCAUAUGUCUGCUGUUUUGUACAUAAAAGAGAUACUAAAAUGAAUCAUUUACAGAACCUAGAUAUCCAACAAACCCUUGGAAUGAUUCAUGAUUUCUAACAGAACAGUUUCAAACAAAGAGAUAAAAGAAGGAAGUAGAAAUUAAAAACUUGAUGAGAAGUAGUGGUCAAAGUACAGCAAGUUACCUCCAUCAUUCCAGUAUGAACAGCUGAAACCAUCAGAGGCUGGAUAGGGAGAAAUACCGCAGAAGCUGCCAUGAGGAAUUUUGAGUUUUCAUUUCUGAGGGCUCUUGAGAGGCACUGCAAAAAUAUAAUGCCCAAGUGUGCAAAGUGAUUAACUUUAAAAGAAAGAAUCAUAGAGCUAACCAAGUUGUGUCGGAAGAUAUUCCCUGAAUUAAAAUCAUUUUAAAAAUAUAUGUAUUAAAGAUCAUACUAGAUUAGGCUGUACAGAAUCUGUAAUUGGAAUCAGGUUUCUUUGUUAUCCAUGAUAAGUAGUCAAUGUGCAGAAAAUUCUUUCUAUACCGACAAAGCAAAAACGAUGCCAAAGACGAGUUUGAAGGAUUUUCUCCAACUUACCACUGUUGCUGUAGCUAUCAUUGUAUAGUCAGCCCAUCUCAAAUAUUUCCUUAGUUUUCCUCUAGAAGAAUGAUAUAAACUUGAGGCAACACCAACUCCAAUUAAUGAAUUAGCAUAUAGCUUGGUGUUUAGAUUCUUCCUGUUUCCCAAGGUAAACAUUAGGUAUGAUGUAUAUAAGAUCACUUUUAUGUCCAUCAAGUAAGUCUUACAUAAAAGUAUCACCUUGGGGCUUGGAUCCCAAGAACUAUGAAAGGAAGUGAAGUGAGCACAUUAACAGCUCUUUCUGCAAGGUCACGAUCACCUAAGAAUAUAGAAAGAACAGAAACAUUGUUCAGAACUGUUCUUUUUAUUCAGGAGAUUGAAUGCAAGGCAACAUAUAUCCAGAAACACACUUAGUUUCCAAUACCGUGAAUGCAACCCUGGAUAGGCUUCAAAAAUGGUGGUGCUUGCUGCCAUACUCGCCUGGAAAACAUGUAGACAGAGUUAAUUGUAGUGGAUUGCUUGCAUGUUGUACAGGGUAUAAUUGAAUUGGUAAAUGACCGACUCCAAAACUGUGGAAAUGCAUAGCCACUAUUUUAACUAUUUUUUUUUUUUGGUACAACUAUUUUAACUAAAUUAUUUCACCACAUAAUACUGGCUUUUCUAUGGAAAUUACUCAUCAAUUAGGUUUAUCACUCACUGCAUAGACAAACUUGUUCCAAUAGCCAAACUUGUACAAGUUGAGUGAGCAAAGUCCCCAUCUUGAGUAGUCUCUUCUGAUUCGAACCGUGAAGAAGGCACAAUAUGUACCCCAUGCACGCCCGCUAGGGCUCUACUAGGAUUCAAUGUACUCUGGGGACUCAUAAAUUUUUCAAAAGUAAGCCAAAGUGACUUUAUUGCCAGCAAAAAUUUGCUGGCAACAGCUGGAAGAGGUGUGCUGAAGGCGAGCCAAUGUAUUGCUUGUAAUUGUACCACUGCAAAACACAGCAAUAUGUCUAUGAAUUAAGAGCGCAUCACCCUGUUGAGAGAAUCCACUGAAUUUCAACUUAACCAUGCACUGAAAAAACACAAUAAUGACAUUCUUUAUCCAAUAAGCAAAUAAUUUGUUAUCCAGUUCUAGUUUAUUGUGGGUUCUGGGAUGGUCUUCAAUUACAAUCCAUGAAAAGGGGAACAAGAAUAACACUGGCCUGCAAUCAACAAACAGUUCGGACUUCAACUAGCCCUCUCCUACGGCAUGGAUUGGAAGAGACUCACACAUUACCAGCUUUUAAGUAUGCAAUAAACUCAAGUCAGCAUCUAGGCAUUCAAAAUUGAAAAUUUAUGGCUAUAUACUUUAAAUUGUAGACCAAAACGCAUUUUUUAAGUAUGACAGAAGCUAAAGUUUUUUACUUAAGCAUGUAAUCAGACAAAAUUGAACAUUAAUCUCAAUUUCUAUAUAAGAUCAAUGACAAAGUAUAUGUAUAAGAUCAAUGACAAAGUAUAGUACUUUAUCAAAAAGUGUCGGCAUAUUCAAUUACUACAAGCAAAGGAAACUCAUUCAAUGUAAUCCAGUAACAAUGUGAAUCUCUUUGGAAGAAAGAAAAAAAAAAAAAAAAAAACAACACCACACCUUGGGGCUACAUGAAGUUGGCACAUCAAAGCUAAAAUUUUUGAUUCUAAUACUUAACAACCAUACCAAAAUCUCAAAUUUUAGAAAUGUAGAUGUAUUGAGCAAAAACCCAGAACCCAACCAAACUGGAAGAUCCAGAACCAGAACCUAAGUUUGAUUCUUCAUCAACAUCAAACAUGCAUUUCAUCAUUAACAAACAACAGUCCGACCCAAAUUGAAUCCAUAGUAUGGUUCUUAAUCAUCAGAUACAGAGCAACAUUGAUUCACACUGAAAAACACAACAUAAUUCUGAAACAUAGAAAGAGAGACAAAAGAACUUACCUGGAAGAUGUGGCGGAUUGGUAAACCUGAGAGGAAAGGGUCGGGCUGUAAUGGAUAUUUAGGGGCAGAGUCUCUCCGGAGUCUUAAUACUCCGGAGCACCGUAGAAACUUUUGUCUAUAAAUAGAGGAAAGGAGAGAUAGAGAAACAGAGGAUGAAAGGGUCGGUUUAUUUCAGUUUAGAGAAACUAGAAUCUGGGGAGAGAUGCGCAUGAAUCACGAAUGUUCCUCAUAUGGUGCGAACGCAUAUUCCAAUUCGUAUCCAAAUGUGCCAUAAGUGACCAACAGUCGUAGCUUAAAGGCGUGUGUGGACAAGUCCAAGUUUGCAAUGUUGUCUUCUUUGUCUUUUAACCCUCUCUAUUCUCCACCAUUGGUGUGAAUUCCACUGUUACAGAGGGCUCCAAUCAUCUUCCAGUUCCAACCCCAUGUGUACAUACCCUGUUUAUUAUUGGUUCUAAUUUGUUUUCAUUUUUGACAGAACAGGAAAGUGUGAGAUUCGCAUAUAGUUAGAUACUUUUCUGUUCCUCUGCAUAAACGUUGCAACAAAUUCAGGGGCUACAUCAUAAAUAUCAUGCUUAGAUUUUGAGGUCAUCAUCAUCGUUACAUCUUAAAGAGUUUUGAUUUUUUUAGUAACCGGUAUAGGUUAAAGCCACGACAAGUUUCAUACAUCUAUAAAUUUAUAAAUAUUUAAGCAAUAUUAGAAGAAAGUGCAUUGAAAUUCUUGAGGUCCAUCACUUGGGGAAAACUUCUAAAAAAAAUCAUGUUUUACUAAUAGUGUGAUAAAAAGAUGGUUCAUUUUACAUGUUUUGACAUACCAUGGCAAUAAGCUUGAAGGAGACUAGGAGAGAUUGCAAAUCAAUGACCAGGAGAAAAGAAAUAUGGGUUGCAAAUGUAGAGCAGGAAACUAUAGAUUGGGCUCAAUGAACUGGUCUGUAGGCCCAUUGGGCCUCAGGCGAGGAGACUGUUCGCACUAUACACUAUACAGGCCAGAAUGAAGUACAGAGCAGUCAUUUCAGCCAGUGAUUUUAAGGACAAGUCCUAUCAGAUCAAAAGAAGCAUCUCAUGUCGACAUGCUGCUUUGACUCCAUUAUAGUUUAUUAGUCUAAUUUAUUAAAUUUACAACAUUUGACUAUGGACUUCUCAGUCUUGACUUGAGUAGUAGAGCCCCUACUGAUCGAUUUAGCUGUCAUUCCCAAACUGUCAUUACCAUCUUGGCUGUGCUGCUCAACAUCUUCUUCUUGUGCGGUUCUGCCUAGCUACUCAUCAUGACUCUGAAAUCCGAAUGAUUAAUGUUACGAUAAGAUAUCGCCCGGACCCCAAUCAUGAUUCAUCAUUAUACCUCAAACUCAAACUUACUAAUUACUACCCUGUUGAGUAACUGAUCGGAAAACUGUAAAUGUGAAACUAGAUAGAGUUGCAUUUCUGUGUGAGGCUAUUGUCAUUGACAACUAUAAUCUAUUACAUAUUUACAUCCAAAAUGUGAGAUCUUUCCUGAUCGAUAUAGUCGCAUUCAUCUUCAUCGUUCAUCCUCUCAUAUUCAUCGUCAUACAUUAUAUCAAACCAUUUACGAGUACUUGCAACGAAUGAACACAUUUAAAUCAUAACUUUGUUAGUAAUUGAGCUAUUCGAUUUCGUGUUGCACCAAAAACAACACAAGAAUUCAAAUCCAAUAUUAAGUGCUAAUUAUUAAACCAAACUAAUUGGUUGCCAAACGAGUCCUAAUUAAUGACAGACAAAUUGAAAAGAAUUGGUGUCCAAUUAAGGCAUUGGUACAUACCAAAUCGAAUGGAUGACUCAACUUAUUAUAGAUAUAUAAAGGUUACUCCAUAUGAUCGAGGGUAUAUAUGUAUGCAUACUUAAAUGAGGACACACGAUUGUAACUCAUAGUUGGACGGGACCAUAGCAAAUAUUCCCUAGCUAAAAAGAAGUUGCACGCUGUGACAAUUAAGCAAAAGGGUGUUUACCUACGACCACCACCAUCAAGUUUGUUUAGCAAAACUCCAUUUUUACAUAGCUACCAAUUCCAUGUUUGAUUAUAUAUACGUGUUCCGGGGACAACGGCUAUUAAUACUGGACAGAGUCCCACACCCUAAGCCUCCCCAACUCCAAAGUCUCCAAGAAAGCUCACAAAAACCAAACAGAUACCGAAGAGCAAAACCAGAUUAGAAAAACAAGCUGGUGCACAGUCCAAAGCUUCGAUCAGAGAAGCAGCGCAAAUAAGAAAAUAGAAGAAGGUUCCAGGAAUCAAGGGUCAAGUUAUGUCAUGUGCCGAGACCCACCAGACAAGGAAUUGAAGAUGCACCAACAGAGAUAACAUCAAAACCUUUCAUAUCAAUCCUCUCUUCCUCUCUUGCUCUUGCUUCUCUAGCUUGCUAGCUAUCCAGUUCUUGCUUCUCUAGCUUGCUAGCUAUCCAGUUCUUGCUUCAGUACUCGACCUUUGUUUUUUCCAGUGAGUCACACCCACCCCACUGCACAGUGUGAGCGUCAAGGCUUUUAUGGUUUUCUCUUCGCUUGGUGCUACUAUUCUCCACGAGCAAUGAGAUCAGCUACAGAAGGUCUUAUUUUGUUGCUGUGGAUCGUCUUAAUUCUUGCUCAAACGACAACUUCCGUUUCUGUUGCUCAUAGUAGUAUUUCUGGUCACGAGUCGACAACUACUGGCCGGUUGUUAAUUAGUACUAAUUCUCCGCCGAGAAAAGCACGUGUUCACGGCAAAGUCUGGUUCCAUGCACCGUCGAGUACUCCAUCUCGUGAUUUUUUUGCCGGCGUCUACGGCGAAGACAAAAGAUUAGUUCAUACAGGUCCGAAUCCGCUUCACAACUAGUGAAAAUAAUGCUUGCUGCGUGGGGCAUAUCGGUAACUGCUGCUGCUGCUGCUGUAGCUGUGUAUUCUCAAGUGAAAAACGACUGUAAUAUCUUCCUGUUGUCGACCUCCAUUUUUACUUUAAUUUUUUCGGGUCCAUUUUGUACGUUCUUUGAAUUUUUGAAUUAGGUAGAGAGAAGAAAGAAUGAGAGCAUGGCUUUAGCCUUUUCAGUAAGGUUUGAUGUAGGGGAUGGGCGGUGUAGGAAAUUACGAGAGCUGGGAAUGGUAAAUUGGGGGAUGUGAUAUCGAGGGGCUAGUGUAAAUGCUCUUGUUUCUUUUUUGCAGUCAUAGUUAUUAUAUGCAUGUUCUUACUUUUUUUCUGUACCUUCUGUUCAAAAAAUUCAUUGUAGUCUGAAUUAAUUGCUCUCUUCAUAAAUUCCUAGCUUCUUCAUCUACCCUCUUCGAUCUGCAUUAUUGCCAGUACGUUCUUCACCCUCCGGAAUACAGAGGCGCGCUUCUGGAAUUAGGGUUUCGGAUCGGUUUCUUUCUCUAACUCUGUUUCCAACGAUUCAAAUCUUCCGAGCUUCAGCAUUGCGCAUUGCGCAGAUAAACUGAAAUGUACAUUCAGAUUUAACUCAUUAGGUUUGUUGAAUCACUGGAUUAGUUAUUAGGGUUUCCUAUAUAGCAAGUCUUACUGUAUUGGCCAAAAUGCGACCAUACACUCAAUCAAUGCUGUUCUCCAUGAUUGGGCUUCACUAAGAUGUAAUCAGACCUAGCUGUUCGAUUAGCUAGAUCUAAUCACCCAGCAAUGAUUCAACGACUGGUUAUUUUCCACGUGGGAAAUCAUCAGCAUAAGGAUCGAUGGAGAUGGCUUUUGUGAAAGGGCACUGGAACUAGCUAGAUAAUCGAUCGGCUUUGAAUAUUGGCUGGGUGUGUGGGACUAUAUUCAUUCAUAUUUGGAUUUGAUUGUUCCCAGAAGUCCUAUCUGUAUUUUGACUUCAAUGCGUUUGCCUUGUUGUUUUUUUCGCUCAAAGAGGAUGCCUGUCUGUCUCUACUGUCUCCAUGGGUAAACACGCUUCCUCAAGAUUUAGGAUCCUAUUUUCCCAACCAUAUUAAUGCUGCUGAAACAAAUUUCCAUGGAUGAGCAGUACUCAUCCAGUAUAGUACUCAUCGGGGCUCUCCCUUUUCUUUUUUACUACAUCGACAUGGUACGUAUAUUUUUUUAUUUUUAAUUUACUGACAAGGAUUAAGCGCGAUAUCAGCUCCUCUAUAGUAAUUUGGCAGAGUAUCCACUCUACCCGAAAUGGACCGCUACAAACCGGGAACCCGUCCCUUAUUAGAUUUUUAUUUAUAAAAAAAACAUGGUACGUACAUGAGGCACUGUUCGUUUUACUCCUCGUUUUUCAUGAACCUUGAUAUGCAACACAACAGGAAAAACACCAGACACCAUAAUCGAAUCUUCAUGCUUAGAUGUUCUAGCUUAUUCAUCGAUUCUGUACGUGAGAAGAAGAACCACUCAUAUGCUAGAUAUAUAAUAUGACUUGUGCUCUCAAAGUUGUCAAUGCUACCUGUAUAUGGACAAAACAAAGUUCAAACUCUCAAGGUUAGAUCAACAAUUAGACAAAUCUGAUUAGAAACUUCCUUGGAAUGAGUUGUGUAAACAAAGUUUGGUGAAUCCCAUAAAAAUUGAUUAAAAUGACACUAACCAAAUAUAUAUAUAUAUAUAUUGUCUAGAGAACAGAAAAGAUAUUUCUUCUAGUCCAUGCUUUUGGAUUAGUUCAAAAAUCAAAGCACAAAAGAUUCUGCUGAUUGAGAAGAAAAAAUGUCGAGCUUAUCAUUUUGCGGAUCAUUUUGAUCGAGCAAGGUGCAGGUGUUGUUUUCCCUGUGAGAUGAAUGUUUGCUUGGAAUCAUUCAUAAAUGUGUGAGUUAAUAAAAGAGGGAAGGUCUGGUGGAAAAUGCAACUACCUCAUCCCUCUCCUACGUCAAGUCCCAUAAAACCUGUUUAUUGCUUCUACCCACCCCAGGAUUCUGCAUUAGUUCUAUUGCUAGCUAGCUGGUUUUUUCAGAUUUUUAUUUUUGCUUUUUCUAAUUUUAAAUUUGUUUGGUUCCUCAACAUCUUCAUUGAUGAAUCAUUAACGAUCGUCAUCUCUUAUAACUAAUGUGGAACCCAUGACAAAUAGAAGGUUUAAUGGUUACACGCUGGUAUUGACAAGUAGAAGACAAUGCCAAGUUUGAGCCUAGUAAUUUUAAUCCUUCCAAUUUGUUUUUUCUUAAUCUCAAUCUACGACAUAUUCUCGAUCAGGAUCGAUGACACAAACAUAAAUUUGAAACAAAGCUUCCUUCGCUAAUGGAGAUAUUCUCCAGAAACUUCAAUUGUCGAGAUGUUAGAGAACCUCGAUCAUAGUCGGCAGGCAAAAGGAGAGAAUUACCAGAGUAUAUCUUCGGGAGAGAAUAUGUCAUUGUCUCGAUCAAUAUCCACAAUGCAAUUCACUCAUUAGAAUACAUCAUUUGCCCCAUAUAUAUAAAUUUCAGUGAAUUCGAAAGGCAUUAAUGUCAUGAAUGUAGCUGGGUCUCAUUCAUCAUCAUGUAUACAACCAGACGACAGGCUGGGGGUUGAUUUGAACGAUUGAUAAUAUCCUACAAAGUGGUCAUAUCUGAUAUUCUGGAAACCAGAUCGAAUUUCUUAAUUCAAUCCUCGAUCGAUCAGUAAGUAAACAAUUAAAACAUCAAAGGAUUUUUCAUUGUUAAGGUUAAGGGUUUGCAAGCAGAAGUUCGGUGAACACACAGAGAUAUUUAGGAGCUGAUUUUUAUACCAACAAAAAGAUUGCAUCGAGUAGUUUCAUACUUUCAUUUAACAUGUUGAUGUUUUUCUUGGUCAGAGAGUCAGAGCCAAGUAGCUGCACACUGAUAUUAUAAUGCAGUAGCAAACAAAUGGGAUUAAAUAUGAAUCUAUGGAAGGAGGGAAAGACAUACUGGCCUUGGGAGUCAUAAAUUGCUUCCAUUGAUUGACCAAAACAAUGCAGGUUAAGUUUCUUUGAUUCUUUUGUUCGAGGAAAAAAAAUAUACAUGUUUUCUCUAACAACUUUACAAUUGGUAUCAGCUGCAUGGGCAUUUGCUCCCCUUAAUAAUCAAGCAUAUAAGUAACAAUUGCUCAAUUAUAGGUGUGGAAAAAGGAGAGGAAUAUAUAACUUCGGUUUUGUGUUUGACACAGUUGAUCUGAAGUUCUGAACUGGCAGAAUGAACCUGUGUUUUAAGUCUCUUAUUUUCAUUCAUAUUGAUCUCGAUCAAUCUCAAUGGAAUGCUUAUUAUCGAUCAGCUUUUCUUUUGCUUUGUUUCUGAUUUAGUAUUGUAUCCUUCUUAACGUACAUAGAACUAAAAGAACAUCUAAUUACUGCUUAUAAUAAUCAUCCAAAAUAAUAGAACAACAUAUUAGUACUUUUUCUUUUGUUGGCUAUCAAAACACUUGCACAUCAUAUAUUGACUUCUGUAUCUUUGAAGGCUUUAACCACUAAAAACAGUACGCCUGCACAGCAGCUGCACUCAUUUGAAUCUUGAGUCUUGACCACAAUGUGCAGUUUAAUUAUAAAGAACUAGCUUCUCAUAUGCGCAAUUAUAAUAUGGUAGAUUGAAUAAUAAAAGAAAACCCUGAGCUAAAGACGGAGCCAUCCUUUUAGACUUCACUUCAUAUUAGGUUAUUAGUAGUAUAAUUUGACAGGUCUAGCUAUGAACAAGUUCUUGCUGAUCUAGCUAGAGUUUUUCGGUUAUCAUUGUGAAAGAAUAAAUUAGUCACAAACACAAUGCUUCGGCUUGAUUUGCACGAAAAAAGUUCUUCUGCCAGCUUUACUCUAGUUGAAAUUUCCUGUAACAUAAUGCAAUAUAUGUACAAAUCUCCUCAGCAACUUAUGUACCAAUCUCUGAAUAGAAUAUGCCAAAGAUACAUUUUAUGACAAGUUCACAAAAUCUGAGAACCAUUUAUCGUGAAAUAAUUCAUACUUGAACUAAAAUGUAGAUUAGGAAUGUCACAUUGUGAGAUGUAUCACUGCCUCUUGGGUUAGUAUAGUAUUAUAGACUCCAACUUCAUACGAAUUUGGAUAUCUCAGACAGAUAUAACCCUGCCUCUUGGGUCAAUGACUUUGCUUCCCCUGGUAUCACAGUGAACAAAAGAUGGUGAAUAAUCAUGAUGAUGGGGAAUUAGAGACAUCUCAAUGUUGGGGCAACUUCACAUACGAUCAGCAAUAGAUCUCAGAUAGUUGAUCCCAGUAGGCACAUCACUUAUUAUCAGCUCAUUGGUGAUUCUGCAAUCACACCUCAAGAUUAAGAGAAAAUGGAGCAAGAACACUGUGAAGUUGAUCUAAAACACAUCUCUCUACUCCUUGACAUUUCCGGUUAUCAUUGUCCCUUGUGAUCACCAAAAGUUGUUGCAAGAACACUCACCAUUUCUAAAAUGAUGAAAACGGAUUUUAUCUCUCAUGAUAAUCUCCCUUUUGGUUGCUUUAGAGACAAAUUUACAGAAACUGUGGCAGUCAUCACAUAUCCGUAAGUUCUUCACCACUCUAAUUGAGCAUUCAGGCUGUAGACUUAGAAGACUAAAUGCAAUGGCAAGCUUUUCACUGUGAUGACUGAGUGUGGCUUCCUUUUCCUCUGUUCCCACAUCAUGGAACACAGAGUUGGUAUUAGGAGUAUAACCUAUAUUCUUCACCUGUCUUAAUAGAUCCUCCAACUUUUCAUAUAUUUUUGAUGAUUCUGGACGGAAUCUGUUACCACCAAAGAAUAUAUGGAUUUUUCCAUUAAAUUCUACAGAGCUAUAGGCAGCUACUUUCUUAGCACCUCUUUUUCUCAUUUUGAGCCUCACCUUAUCAACACAGUCCCACCUUCCAGCAGCCGCGUACAUGUUUGACAUCAAGACAUGAUAUGAACCAUUAGCAGGAUCUAAUUCAAAAAGCACAUCAGCUACAUGCUGACCCAGUUCAACAUUUUGGUGGACUGCACACGCACCCAAUAAGGCUCCCCACACCCCAGAAUCCGGUUCAAUUGGCAUACUUCUUAUGAAGUUAUAAGCCUCCUCAAGAUGUCCUGACCGACCAAGGAGAUCAACCAUACAAGCAUAGUGCUCUAUUUUCGGUUGAAUAUUCUUGUCACCGGAUUGAACCAUGCGCUUAAAAUAAGCCCUGCCUUCAUUCACCAGCCCAGCAUGGCUGCAUGCAGAUAAAACUCCCAGAUAUGUAACAUGGUUGGGCGCAACUCCACGCUCUUGCAUCCUCGAAAACAUAUCCAACGCCUUCCGGCUCUCCCCAUUCAUGGCAUACCCCAACACCAUAGUGCUCCAGGAAAUAACAUUUCUCCGAGACAUAUCCUCAAACAAAGCCUCAGCCAUGUCUACACUACCGCAUUUGACAUACAUAUCAAGCCGCGCAUUGGCAACAAUCACAUUGCAACCAAUCCCACAUUGUCUCAUAAUCCCAUAUAUUUCCUCCCCAGUCUCCAAACACCCCAACUGCCCACAAGCCGAAAAAGCACUCACAAUUGUAACAGCGUCAAGCUUCACUCCCGCCACACGCAUCCUGCGAAACAAAUCAAGAGCCUCGGCAGCAUGUCCACUCUGCACGCACGCAGCAACAAAAGCAUUCCAAGCAACUAAAUCCCUCUCAACCAUACUUCCAAAUAAAAACCGCGCCAAUCCCAACUCUCUAUUUCUCACACACAUUACCACCAUCUCCGUCCUCACUUCCGCCACAAACUCCAACCCAUAUUUCACCGCAUGCGCCGCAACCGCCAGCCCCGCCCACGGCAGAAGCUGAGCACACGCCUUAACUACAAAAGUGUACGUAAACUCGUCCGGACGGACACCUAGUCUAUGCAUUCUCCUAUACACCGCCGCCGCCUCGAUAAAGUCUCCAUCUUUCACAUAAGCCUUGAUCAUCGUGUUCCAUAGAAAUACUCUCGGCUUGUGCAUUUCGUCGAACACCUUGCGUGCAUAGGAAGUUUCCCCCAGGGCUAUGAAGCUGGUGAUGAGACGCGUGAGGAGGCUGUUCUUGACGGAGAUUCCGGUGGUGAGAAUCACGGCGUGGAGUUGCUUCAGCUGGUCUGGGUGUGACGAGCAUGACUCCAACUGCGCCGUGAAGGCUUGUUUGGUAAUCGUCACAGGAACCGGGUCGGGUUUCCGGGUCAAGUUCAAAUCCAAUUCAGCUCGAGAAGAGAACCGUGAAAUUCGGUUCCGCCAGAUCAUGCAGUGUCUUCUGGUAACUUGCAUUUGGGGGGACUCUUCCAGAUUUUUCAGAAGGGAGGAUGAGUAAAACGCUGUCGUUUUGCAUCGGCAGAUUUCAGAUAUUUUACCGGGAGAAUUGAAAGCAACGUGACUGGGGGGUGUUUAGGUAAUUUCGUAAGCGGCUGGGUAAAUUGGUCUCAGCCAAAGGAAAGGCUGGUCCAGUCCUGCUCCAGUCAUGGCUGCCCAAUCGCCGCGCGGGUGGUCAUGGAGUUCAUCCACCUACUCCACCACCGCUGCCAAGUGCUCUUCUUCCACCUCGUCGAAUCUCUCUUCGUUUUAUAUAAAACGACGUCGCUUCACCGCUUGCUCUUCCUCUUCUAAAUCUUCCGGUAGCUCCGGCGAGAAACCCGGGCCGAAAAAGCCGGCGAAAUUGGAUUUUACAGCCCCCGGUCCAACCGCAUUAGUGAAAGUCUCAAAGGGAAAGGGAUCCACAAGUGAAAAGACGAUUACAGCCCUGAGCUUCAAGCCUGGGAAGCGAUCUCUAUGGAAGAGGAUAUUCUUCGCCUCCAAGAAAGUUAGGAGCAUUCUUCUGCUGAAUGUGAUCACUGUAGUCUAUGGUAAAAGCUUAUUCGUUUUUUUUUUUUUUCAUAAUCAAGUUAAUUAUUUCGAGCUCAAAUUUGGAGUAUUUAAAGUUAAGAUGACAGUGGCUAAUGUUGUUUGUAGCAAGUAACUUCUCGAUUGUGAAAGAGGUGGAGUCUGUGAUCGACCCGGCGGCGUUUACGGUGGUGCGGUUUGCUAUGUCAGCUGUCCCAUUCAUCCCAUUUGUCAUCCGAGCAAGAGGUGAUGUGGAAACUCGUAAUGCAGGGAUUGAGUUGGGGUUCUGGGUUAGUUUAGGGUAUCUUAUGCAGGCAUUGGGACUGCUAACAUCGGAUGCUGGUCGCGCGUCGUUUCUUUCUAUGUUCACUGUGAGUGUUUUGCAUUAUGUUUGUAGGCAAUGUGUGUUAAAAGAUUGUUGUUUUGGGAGUACCUGAAGGUACUUGUUGGUAUAUUUUGGGUGAAUUUAACAGGUGAUUAUCGUUCCCUUGCUUGAUGGUAUGUUAGGAGCAAUAGUCCCUGCUCGUGUCUGGUUUGGUGCCUUCAUGUCUAUUGUAGGAGUUGGGCUGCUGGAGUCCAGUGGAUCUCCCCCUAGUGUAAGUUCUAUUACUCUUCUUAAGAUUGUAUAAGUGUAAUGCUGAUGAUAAUAAAGUGCAGAGGACCAAGUUGGGUUUUCUCUGUGGCCUGUUUAGAGAUCAGAAUCUUAUAAUUUCUGGUGAUCUUAUGUUCCUAGUUUGCAUAUAGGGUGCCGACUCAGAUAUAAGUAUGUUUCGUUUCAUAGAACUAGAAUAUAGACUUCUGGAUACUGACCACUUAAUUGCAAUAAAACAUUGGUUCUGUAAUUCUGAUUACACCUGCAUGAGUCAAGUACAGUUUCAAGUGCCAAAACAAUAUCCACUUCUGGUGAUAAGAUUAACCUAUUCAAUAACUAGUGAAAUGGGAAACAGCAUUGUCGAUAGUGAGUUACAGCUCUCUUGGCUUAAAAGGAGAGAAAACUCUCCAUAUGUGUGUGUAAACAUGUAAAUAUAAUUUAUUUAUCAAAUGUAUGCAGGUUGGAGAUUUGCUGAACUUCUUGAGCGCGGUGUUUUUUGGGGUUCAUAUGCUUAGAACAGAGCAUAUAUCAAGAAACACAAAGAAAGAAAACUUCUUGCCUCUGCUUGGAUAUGAGGUUAGUAUAUCAUUUUCGCCCAUGUAGUUAGUAUAUCUUCUUUGAUGCUCUGCAAGACUGCAACUAACCUUGGUUUCAUUUAGAUAUGCGUUGUUGCUUUCUUAUCAACAAUAUGGUACGUCAUUGGGGCAUGGUCUGGUGGUGGCCUCCACGACUUUAACCCAUCAUUGUGGACAUGGGAGAUGUUCAGGGAGUGGAUGGUUGUGUUUCCAUGGAUACCUGCACUGUACACAGGCAUAUUCUCCACUGUUUUAUGCUUAUGGGUAGAGGUAUGUGCAAAUGCUCUACUCUAAGACUGAAUAAUUUGUUCUCACAUUGCUCAAGUUGCUUGGGAAGUUGUUGGGAUACUUGCUUAUCUACAUUACAAUAAUAUAUGAAUUGUAGUGGUGCCAUGAAUUUUCUAGCAUUAUGAAAUUUCAAACACCCCUUUUUCAGCUCAGUUUUUUAACAGAAGAUUAUAUUUAACAGAUGGCCGCAAUGUGUGACGUAUCAGCCACAGAAACAGCAAUAAUUUAUGGUUUGGAACCUGUCUGGGGUGCUGGUUUUGCAUGGUUUCUCCUUGGCGAAAGAUGGGGUUCUACUGGCUGGAUUGGUGCUGCUCUUGUGCUUGGUAAAUUACUAUUGAUUUUCAUGAUCUAGUCAGCUUAAGAUACAAAAUAUCUUCAAAUUUUUUCAUUUGUUUACCAUCAAUUAUCUUUGUUAUUAGAUUACCAAAGUAAUAAAAGUGCUUCAGGUAGAAUUGCUGUCAGCAGCGAAGGACUAUUGAUCUACUACUAAAUGACAUAUUACAUCAGCUGUUAACCUUUUUAUCACUUUGUAUGGUAGAAAACUUCUGUUGCUUAUACUAGUAAUAAAAAGGAAGAGUAAUUUUUGCAUCAUAUUAACGCAUACUACACAUGCUUGGUUCUUGUUUCUCUGCAGGUGGAAGCUUAACAGUUCAGAUAUUUGGAUCAACAUCUCCCGCGGAGCCUUCAAAAGAUGAAUUGAAAGCUAAGAGACUCACUUUCCCAGUGGUUUCAGAUAAACACAAUGGCUUGUCUGCCUCACCCGUUGUAGUGAGUUCCAGAAAGGAUACACCUGAUCUGCGGAAUAAGUAAUUAACUAAGCCAUUUCUUAUGUCAGCUUCGCCUAUUCUCAGUUUUAGAUAAACAGACCACGCUCUCUAACGACAAUUCUGUUGUCACAUCACUCUCCUUGUAAUUAUGUAGCUUAUAAUCUGAAUCUCGAUUUAGGAUAGCUAAGUAAUGGAGCUUGAGGGCUCUCAGCUUUGUAUAGUUGUAUGUAGGGAGAGCUUCCAAUGAGGAUCUUAUAAUGAGGACCAAGUGAGGACUUUUAAAUGAAUGGUUGGAUGAUAUGCACAUGAGAAUUAGAAAAUAUCAAUUAAAAGUCAAAACCUUGAUCCAACCGUUCAUUUAAAAGUCCUCACUUGGUCCUUAUUAUAAGGUCCUCAUUGGAAGCUCUCCCGUUGUAUGUAUACCAGCAAUUAUUCCACAAUAAUAUGAACUCCAUUCACAAUAUACUAGUGUAGGUAUCAUCAUUUAUUACCGUAAGAAACACCCGACUGUAUGUCGUUCGGAAUACACUGAUUCAAAUUAAGAAGAAAGAAAUACACUAAUUCAUCUUUAUAUUCAGUACUCAACCUUGGCUAACAAAGGCGUACCUACACACAAGCUACGGUGGACUACAGCCCACCGCAGAAUUUGAUAAAACAUUGUUUUGUUGCAUAAUUAUAGUUAAAAAAAAAAAGUUAAAUUAUGAAAACAAGCCCACUCUAUACUUAGUCUAUAUGUAAUUAAACUUAGUUCAUAUGACAUUUUUUUUUGAAUUAAAUUCAGUUUACCCCCAUGAGGUUUGGGAGUAACUUUAUAUUAAUCCCUAUACUUUCAAUUUCAUCAGUUUACCCCUCAAACUUUUGAAUUUCCCUUAACCGUGACCAAUGUCUCAUCUUCUGUCCAAAUCAGACGUUAAUUGCUGACGUGGACCCAAUCUCAUGAGUUAAAUUAUGUUUGUACCCGAAGCUUAGAAAAUUUUCAACUUAGUUAGGGAUAAAAAGGAAUGAUUUUUUAAUUUUUUUUUCACUAGUUUUUUUGUUAAAUGACAAUUUUAAUCUUAACAAUGGGGCUCGUAUCUAGAAUUAACGAUCAAUUCAAACAAAAUAUAAGAAUUUGGUCACGACAGACAAAAAUUCAAGAGUUCAGGGGGUAAACUGAUGAAAUUAAAAGUGUAGGGAUUAACAUGAAGUUACCCUCAAACCAUAAGAGGGUAAACUGAAUUUUUUUAUCUGAUUACAUAUAUAUUAUUUAUUUUAUUAAAAGCAGUUGCUCCUUUUGUAUAUUUUGGGUCAACUUUCUUCUCUUUAUUUCUUUUUCUUUGUCGUUGUAUACGUCUCCAUUCUCUUCUGCCGAAACAGCUAAGCCAAGUGUCAAACUUUCUCUCUUUAAUCUUCAUGUAUGGUUCUUAGUUAUAUUGAUCAUCCUCUUAAAGUCUUGUACGUGUGAUAUGACCUAGUUCUCAAAUCUCAAUUGAUUAAUGCCUUGAUCAAAUUUAGUCUCAAUAUCCCAUCAUCUCAAAUCUCAAUUGAUUAAUGUCUUGAUCAAAUUUAGUCCCAAUAUCCCAUUAUCUCAAAUCUCAAUUGAUUAAUCCCUUGAUAGUCCCAAUAUCUCAUCAGGACUGUCUUUCUAUUGAUAAUCUAAUUCUAAUCUCAAUUAUUGUAUAUGACUAAUGCUAAUGAUGUGAUAUAUAUAGAUAUAUAGUUGUAAUCAGGGCCCUUCCACUAAGGGAUCUCUUAUUAUGACUUAUAUGAGGGAUUGAGCAUUAGCCCAACUUUUUGAUCACAUAUCAACAUCUCCACCAUUCAACCUCUAGGUAUAUAUGAGUAGAUCAUUUUUGAAAAUUUUCAGCCAAAUUGGUGAUCUUUAAGGCUUCAAACUGGCUUAAAUCAAUGGACUGUUCAAAUCUGUCAAUCAUGAACCGUUCAUGAAAAUUGCAGUUUUGAGCACCUUAACGAUCAUCAAUUUAGAUGAAAUUUUGCAGAAGUGAUCUACAUAUUAGGACCUAAAAACUGAAUGGUUAAGAUUGAAAAAUGUGAUCGAAAAGUUAGUCUAAUGCUCAAUCCCUCAUAUAAGUCAUAAUAAGGGAUCCCUUAGUGGAAGGGCCAUGUAGUUGUAAUAGUACCAACAUUUGAUUCAUAGUUAUUAGAAUAUGUUAUCCCGUCGAGUUAGGUUUAAGGAUUAUAUACUCAUUUACUGUAUUGUUAGAGCGGUGUAAGUAUGUUCUUUUGUCUUUAACUUUUGUUAUCGAAUUUUUAUAAAAUGUUAUAAUAUUGAUUUCUUAAUUAUCAGUUAACUAUGUCAUUUUUUUGAUAUGUUUUUAAUUUAAGAUGUGAUAUGUAGAAUAUAAAAAAAAAAAAUUUAAACUCACCCCAACCUAAUAUCUUAGACAGGGCUGCUCACCUGCGAGACACAAUUUAAGGGAAAAAAGGGGCGAAUCGAUCUCAGCCGUUGGAUCUUUAAUGAAUAUAUCUUACGGUUAUCAAGGAAACACGAUCUCAUGCCAAUUAUCUUUUGUUCAUCUUCUUCCCUCAUCUCACCUCUUCGCAAACUUAGCAACCCAUAUCUUUUCAUCUUCUUCUCUCAUCUCAGGAUUUCUCAACAUCCCAUACGUGGGUUCUUAGAAGCCUCACAUAUUCUUUUCUAAUACGAGUGGUGUAACUUGAAAUCAACAUGUAAAAAAGAACCGUGAGGAUGCUCUUUAUAUAUGCUAAAUUCGAAUAAGAAAGGGAGAAAUUAAUUUGAAGAUAGACAAAUCCCAUGAAAUAGAGGAUGUGCUUUCGUCCGCCCGUUGUGCCUGGAUUCAAACCCAAGAUACAAUCUUCUUCGAAUUUGUCGAGUCUCUUAUUUCUCAUACAAUUGGAACAGAGCAUAUGUGUGUAUAUUUUUAAGAGCAUAUAACAUGGUUAAAAAGAAAUUUCUGAGAGGAGAAGAAUGAAAUAGAAUUGGGUUUAGAGAUAUAUGAGAGGAGAAGAGUAUGAACUGAUCUGGGUAUGGCUUAGAGAGGUGAGAGGUGAGAGGCGAGAGAUGAGAGGAGAGGAAACAUGGAUCUGCAGAAGUUGAAUAACAACAAUUCGAUUGGAUGGUGGCUGCCAUGAGAACCGUAGGAUGUGUUCAUUAAAGAUCCAACGGCUGAGGUUGAUUCAUCCCUUUUUGUCCCUUAAAUUGUGUCCCGCAGGUGAGCAGCCCUGAUAUCCUAGGUCCGCCAUUGUUGGCCAACAUAUUGCUGCUAAGUAUUCGUCUUCUAGUUCCAUUUCCACGCCUAAAAUCCGUCUCCAACAUGAUCAUCUCUAUCAAAUUGGUACUUAAUCUUGGCCAACACGAUCAGGUUCUGCUGCAAAAUGUUCGUCUUCUAGUUCCAUUUUCAAACCUUUCUUAAUUUCGUGUUGCCUUGUUUCAAAUAGUUGACUCUAUCAACUUGAUUAAUAUCAAUUUGGAUACACACCCUACGCCUUAACAUAAUCUAAAUAGUUAUUUAUUAAGAAUGUACGUAGGAGACUUGUUGGAUUUGCUCUAACCGAUCGAAUCAAAGUUCUUGUUGAUCGAAUGAGGAUGAGUCUGUAGCAAAUCGAUUUUCACGAGUAAGACAUCACUCUCAGAUGAUUUUCUUGUCAUGCAAUCUCACAUACAGUUGCCUGCAGUCAUUAUCUUUUAGUUUCAAUAAUACAAUUUAAGAGACGGUACGUAUGGGAGUUGGCGAUGAUUUCUUAAAAACAACAAAAUAAUGCAAUAAUAUCAAAAAAUAAUUAGAUUAUCCAACAGUGAACAUGUCAGUAUUACGAUCAUCUCGCACUCUGCAGUGUUAACAAUUUUCAAUUGAAAAAAGGGAGAUUGAUUGUUGCUGAGAUAUGAUAAGACCAAUGAUAAGAUCUGAUUUAUUGAGACCAUGUGAAGCAUUACAUGUUUUUCAGAAGGUAAAUCAUAUACAAUACCUAAUAAUUUAGCUGAAACUGUAGUGGAAUUAAUAUAUUAAUGUUCUCUAAGUUCUUGCCCUAUUAUAUAUAGCACACAAGAUUGGUACGUUGUAUACCGCGAUCAUAUGAACUUAGGGUUCUGAUCAGUAGUAAAAAUAUCAAUCAAAAAGUACCGAUCGAUAAUCAAACAUGUCUCUUCAAGGUAAGGUGGAAGCUGAAUUUGAAAUCACAGCACCUGCUGACAAGUUCUACAACAUUUUCAAGAUUGAGGCUCACCUAGUCCCAAACACUUCUCAAACUGGCAGUAUAACUGGAGUUGCAGUGCAUGAAGGAGACUGGGAAACUGACGGGUCUAUUAAGAUUUGGAACUAUGCAAUAGGUAAGCCAUUAUAUGCGUAAUUGUUCGAUCUGUUAUUAGACUGUACAUGACCAAAGCUGCCUCUGAAAAAUUAGGUAGGUGAUGUAGAGGUUUUCAGUUAUAAUUGUUUUACAGUGAUUUUAACUCUCUUGUUAAUAUAGAGGGCGAAGUGGGAACAUUCAAGGAGAGGGUGGAGUUAGACGAGGUGAACAAGACCAUAACUCUGAAUGGAUUGGAAGGAGAUGUGUUUCAGUAUUACAAGAGCUUCAAGCCUAUCUAUCAGUUCACUCAAAAGGAUGAGGGCAGCAGCAUUGCCAAAGUGUCCAUUGAAUAUGAGAAGCUGAGUGAGGAGGUUGCAGCUCCAGAUAAGUACAUCCGCUUGAUGACUAACAUCGUCAAGGAUCUUGAUGCCCACUUCGUCAAGGCCUAAAGAAGGAAUAAUUAGCAUGCAAUACGAAAGCUAUAGCUCUCGCUAUUGCUACUGCAUGCUGGUUUUGUAAAAUUAAAAACAAAUAAUCAUCUAGUACUGUUGUGGUGUUCUAAUUUUGAUGCUAAGUAUAUAUCACCAUUGNGAUGAAUAAAUGUGUGAACGGUGAUAUUGAUAUGUAUAUGGUAUAUGUAUNNNNNNNNNNNNNNNNNNNNNNNNNNNNNNNNNNNNNNNNNNNNNNNNNNNNNNNNNNNNNNNNNNNNNNNNNNNNNNNNNNNNNNNNNNNNNNNNNNNNNNNNNNNNNNNNNNNNNNNNNNNNNNNNNNNNNNNNNNNNNNNNNNNNNNNNNNNNNNNNNNNNNNNNNNNNNNNNNNNNNNNNNNNNNNNNNNNNNNNNNNNNNNNNNNNNNNNNNNNNNNNNNNNNNNNNNNNNNNNNNNNNNNNNNNNNNNNNNNNNNNNNNNNNNNNNNNNNNNNNNNNNNNNNNNNNNNNNNNNNNNNNNNNNNNNNNNNNNNNNNNNNNNNNNNNNNNNNNNNNNNNNNNNNNNNNNNNNNNNNNNUAUUCAUCAUGUUGCGACCAAGACUAACUAUAUAGCUCAUACAGCAGCAGGCAACAUUUUCAUGAUAAGAAACGUCCAUUUGUAUACUUCAAAAAAAAAACGUCCAUUUGUAAUCUAACUAAUGUUCGAUGUCAACCAUAUUAUUGUUGGCAGCUACCAAACAAACUAUUUUGAUCGGUCUACAUAUAAAUGGAGCUGGCUGUGAAGUAGCCAAAUGAUUCCCUUUACAUGCGAGCAUGCCUGGCCAAAAUACUGGAUCUACUGUGAGCACAGAUGAGUAGCUUGGAGAUUCAUUCUCGGAGAUCGAUCAUUCAGUGUGGACGCUUAUCUAUGCCGGCCUCUACUAGCAAACAUAACACGUGAAGACACUAAUAGUUCUAGAUUUGGUAGGGUUUAGACGCUUAGAGCCUAUCUGGGGUGGUUUCGCAUGUUUCGCUUACCCAUCCCACAUGCAUUUACAAUAUUGGUGAGAUUUGGAUUCAUCAUUUCUACGAUAUUAGUUAAAUUAGAAAACAAUUACGCCGCAGCUCACAGACAAUUAAUUACGUUAUAGUUGAAUACUUGAAUUAGAAAGAGUUUGUAUGUAGCUACAUAUCAUGAAGAGUAAGUAAACCAUCACUCUUAAGAGAUUUUCUUGUCUGUCAUAUAAUCUAACAGCUGUCUGGCGUAUGUUAUUAAUUAUCUUAUUUUUAUUUCAAUAAUACAAUUAAAAAAGGGUAAAUAUGGGAGUUGGUGAUGACUUAUGAUUCUAAAAACAACGAAGUAACCAAUUAGAAUAUCUAAAAGAAAUAUAUAAAAUUAAAAAUUAUAAAAAAAGCUAGCCUUUAAGAUACCGUGAACUAAUCUAAAAAGUGCGNNNNNNNNNNNNNNNNNNNNAAUCAUAUGAUAAUAUCAAUAAUAGGAGGACCAUGUGAAGCGCAUGUUUACUGAAAUGAAAUUAAUAGUACCUAAUAAUUUAGCUGAAAGCGUAGUGGAAUUGAUCGACGUUAUCUGAUAGUUCUGCCUUCUGCCCCCUAUUAUAUAUAGCAAACAAGAUGGGUAGCUUAUCGGCAUAUCGCGAUCAUAUACUUUGGGUUCUGAUCAGUAUCAUAUCGAUCACAUCACAGAGUACCGAAAAUCAAACAUGUCUCUUCAAGGUAAGUUAGAGACUGAAUUUGAAAUCACAGCACCUGCUGACAAGUUCUACAACAUCUUCAAGAGUGAGGCUCACCACAUCCCUAACACUUCUCAAACCGGCACCAUAACUGGAGUUGCGGUGCAUGAAGGAGACUGGGAAACUGAAGGAUCUAUCAAGAUUUGGAGUUAUUCAAUAGGUAAGCCAUUAUGUACGUAAAUGUUCAAUCUGUUAUAUAUAAGACUGUUAAUUUUAACCAUAUAUUAACCAAAGCAGCUGGUUCUGAAUCACUCGACAGGUUGAGAUAUCAGGAACGGUUGAGAUUUUCAGUUAUAAUUAUUGUUACAGUGAUUAUUUUCGUGUUUAUAUAUAGAGGGGGAAGUGGGAACUUUCAAGGAAAAGGUGGAGCACGACGACGUGAACAAGGCCAUAAUUGUGAAUGGGUUGGAAGGAGAUGUGUUUAAGUAUUACAAGACCUUCAAGGGCAUCUAUCAGUUCAAUCAAAAGGAUGAUGGCAGCAACAUUGCCAAACUGACCCUCGAAUAUGAGAAGCUGAGUGAGGAGGUUGCAGUUCCAGAUAAGUACGUUCGCUUGAUGACUAACCUCGUCAAGGAUCUUGAUGCCCACUUCGUCAAGGCCUAAGGGGGGAAGAAUUAUAUAGCAUGCAAUACGAGAGCUACGUAUAAUGAAUAGCUACUACUGUGUGCUGGUUGUGUGAAGGUUAAGAAUAAUAAUCUGUUGUAGUGCAUGCUUUAUCUGGUUAUGAGUACAAUAGCGUACAGGUACUGUCGUCUUUUUAUGCGAGUAUAUAUCACCAUUGUGAU